AUAUAUGACCAUGAACGAUUUAAACAUUCAGAUAAUACAAAUAAAUGUUAAUUACUCAUUUCAAGUAUAAAUUCUAUUGAAAAAGUUUCUUUGGUAAAAAAUGAUGAUGUACAAUAAUAACAAUAACACUGUGGAUUCAAAAUCAUUCGAAACAUGGACUUCAUGGAUGAAUGUGUUCUACAAAAUGCAAAUUUGUCAUACUAGGUUUGUAUACAGAAUUCAUGAUGUGUCCACGAAAAUACAGGGUUGAAUAAAAAAAAAAAGACACCAUCAUCUUAGCUAAUGGACUGGUUUGGUGUACCUUUGAACCUUAGCUAGAUGGCUUUUCCCACUAUAAACAGCUUAACCAGACUACAAUAUUUUGGUGAAUUGCCAUUACAUAUACCCCCUUGACAAUUAUACACAUCAGUGGUCAUUGAAAAAUGUAUACAAAAUAAAUUUCGAAGAAGUAUACGAAUUGCCAUGGGUAUCAUGAAAAUAGAAAGAUAUAAAAGGAAUUAAAAUCAUAUUGCUGAAAGCAAAACAAUGUGCAAAAACAACAAAUAAAGAUAAAUGAUAAUAAUUAAGUUGAUAUUAUCUGAGGUGUCAUAUUUACUGUUCUACUGACAUACUUGUGAAUUUAUAUUCCAUUAUAACACACAGCGACAACAUCAAAACAAUUCAUACACAAUAAAAUCACACAAAACAACA
rnacentral:lncRNA from 1 species